rnacentral:rRNA from 1 species
UGAGUAACACGUAUCCAACCUGCCGUCUACUCUUGGACAGCCUUCUGAAAGGAAGAUUAAUACAAGAUGGCAUCAUGAGUCCACAUGUUCACAUGAUUAAAGGUAUUCCGGUAGACGAUGGGGAUGCGUUCCAUUAGAUAGUAGGCGGGGUAACGGCCCACCUAGUCUUCGAUGGAUAGGGGUUCAGAGAGGAAGGUCCCCCACAUUGGAACUGAGACACGGUCCAA